GGAUUAGAUACCCUGGUAGUCCACGCCGUAAACGAUGUCUACUUGGAGGUUGUUCCCUUGAGGAGUGGCUUUCGGAGCUAACGCGUUAAGUAGACCGCCUGGGGAGUACGGUCGCAAGAUUAAAACUCAAAUGAAUUGACGGGGGCCCGCACAAGCGGUGGAGCAUGUGGUUUAAUUCGAAGCAACGCGAAGAACCUUACCUGGUCUUGACAUCCAGAGAAUUCGGCAGAGAUGCCUUAGUGCCUUCGGGAACUCUGAGACAGGUGCUGCAUGGCUGUCGUCAGCUCGUGUUG
rnacentral:rRNA from 1 species